CUCCUGCCUGGCAGUUCCUCCUGGACUUCCCCCACUUCUCAGCUCGCUGAGAUAAGUGGAGAUCCUCCCAUCCACGUAACGGCGGAUGUUCUUACACAGGCCUGUUGGGGAGAGGUGGCACUUAGGUGAUGAAGAAAUAGGAGUCCAUCGCAUUGCACCGCACACCAGCCUAGUGUGAAGAGGGCUUUAUAUGCCCAGUUUGAAAAAGGCCAGUGCAAAAGUUACCUGGGUAUAGAAAACUUCUAGCAAACUUUAAGGAAGAAAGCUUUUGUUACAAGGAAAGAUGGUAAGUUUGUGCACCCAACCUCUAUUUGGAAGAAUAUUUUGUUGUGAAACCUUUCUUCUUCUGGAGGCUUGAGCCAGCUGCUUUUGACCUGGGAGCUUACAGUGUGGGUAAGAGUGG